UGUCAGUCAGUCCCUCUGGUGAAAUAGUGGAGGGCAGUUCAGUGACUCUGACCUGCAGCAGUGAUGCCAACCCACCUGUGGACAAAUACACCUGGUACAAGAAGAAUGUAACCUCACCAAAAGCAUCAGGACAGAGUUACAGCAUCACUAACAUCAGCUCUGAGGACAGAGGAGAAUACUACUGUGAGACCCAGAAUGGAAGAGGAUCUAUGAACUCUACAGCUCUGAUGAUCAUUGUAGCAGGGAAACAGACCUCAGUUGUGACUGCAGCUGUAGGAAUCAUAGUGGUUGUUCUGGUUCUCAUACUCUGUUCCUCUGGCUUCAUGUGGUUCAGUGUGUCCGUCCUGACUGUAACAGUGACAUGUACACAGCUCUGAACAUGAGGACCAGGUCACCAGAUUAUGACACCCUGGCAAAUGUGAGGGGACCCUCCCACUGAAGAGAAUCACCACAGAAGCUGGACCGAAGAGAAUCACCACAGAAGCUGGACUGAAGAGAACCACCACAGAAUCUGGACUGAAGAGAAUCACCACCGAAUCUGGACUGAAGAGAAGCACCACAGAAUCUGGACUGAAGAGAAGCACCACAGAAGCUGGACUGAAGAGAAGCACCACAGAAGCUGGACUGAAGAGCUACUGUUCCAAUCCAAAGCCAGGCCUCACACCUCUAUUCUCUUGCUAUUACAUCUAGAUGGUUUUCCA
rnacentral:lncRNA from 1 species